rnacentral:sRNA from 1 species
UCCGUAGGUGAACCUGCGGAAGGAUCAUUACAGAAUGAAAAGUGCUUAACUGCAUUUUUUCUUACACAUGUGUUUUUCUUUUUUUGAAAACUUUGCUUUGGUAGGCCUUCUAUAUGGGGCCUGCCAGAGAUUAAACUCAACCAAAUUUUAUUUAAUGUCAACCGAUUAUUUAAUAGUCAAAACUUUCAACAACGGAUCUCUUGGUUCUCGCAUCGAUGAAGAACGCAGCGAAAUGCGAUAAGUAAUAUGAAUUGCAGAUAUUCGUGAAUCAUCGAAUCUUUGAACGCACAUUGCGCCCUUUGGUAUUCCAAAGGGCAUGCCUGUUUGAGCGUCAUUUCUCCCUCAAACCCUCGGGUUUGGUGUUGAGCGAUACGCUGGGUUUGCUUGAAAGAAAGGCGGAGUAUAAACUAAUGGAUAGGUUUUUUCCACUCAUUGGUACAAACUCCAAAACUUCUUCCAAAUUCGACCUCAAAUCAGGUAGGACUACCCGCUGAACUUAAGCAUAUCAAUAAGCGGAGGAAAAGA